AUUCCGAAUCGCGCGUCCGCAAAGCGUGCAACGCGCCUCUCUCGCGUCUCCCUCCUUCUCUGCGUCUCCCUCGCCCUCCUUCUCGCCCUCCUUCCCUUCUGCCUCUGCCCUUCGCACGCCGCCUCCCCCUCCUCCUGUCCCCAGUCUCCCUCGCCCCUCACCCUCGCUCGUUCCCGACUCGAGGACAUGACGUUGUGCCGUCGUGCUCGCACGUGACGUCACCUCGGCGGCUGUGUGACGUCACGCUGCGACGUCACCCGACAUGGAGGCCUGGACUCCUGGUGCUUUUCUGUGCACAGAGCCAUUCGUGAAACAGGAGUGUGACGACAACCCUGGCUGUGAGAUGUGGAUGGAAGCGAAUGUGAAGCAAGAAGAGUUGAGUGACACCGCUGUGCGAGACUGGGAGACAAGAGCGCCGCUCAUCAAAUCAGAGCAUGGAGAAGAGAGCACCGGCUGUGAGUUCUCAGAAGACGACUUUCAGGCCGAGAGAGAGGAUCUUCAGACUAAAAGGGAACAGCUGAGGGCUUAUCAUUCUUCCUUGAGGCCUGCAGUGACGUGUGACCCACAGGGAGACCAUGCAGUGAUGGGGAGCUGUGCCGAGGUGGAGGUGGAACUGGGAGACAUGAAUGAAGCAGGGAGCGGCAGGCUGGCAUGCGGCAUCUGCGGGCGGAGGUUUAUGAACCGGAACUCGCUGCGGCGACACAUGCUGCUGCACGAGGGAGACGUGGGCACCAAGAAGCACCAGUGCCGGCUGUGCCUGUACGCCACGGAGCUUGCCACUGAGCUGCACCAACACGAGAAGGCACACGCCGUGGGACGCGUGCAUGCAUGCGGAGAGUGUGGCAGGGAUUUCGUGAUGGCCUCGCAGCUCAGGGCUCACCUCAGAGUUCACGCAGAGGGUAUGCGCAGCAGGUGUGACGAUGGAGUGAAGACGACUACGCUGUCACCAAACCCUGACAGCCCCGUGCACAUCGACCUCGCAGGCGACGGAGCACAGUUGUCUUCAAGCGGCAAGCGGAGGAAUCCCAUGCCCACUUUGGACAAGAAGGUGCAGGUUAUCAAGAGGUUCAACAAUGUUGAUAUUGCAUCUCACCUUGCUGCUGAGCAUGGAUGCGGUAAAAAUACUGCCCAUCACCUUCACCCCAGCAGGGACAAAAUCCUGUCGCACGUGUCAGCAUCCAACAACACAGAAAUGCCCUUGCGAAGGAAUAGCACAAAGACUACUGUCGUGCAGCAGUUGGACUCGGCACUUUUCUCCUGGUUCAAGCAGAGACAAGCCGCGGGCAAGUCCAUCUCAAGCCGUGCGGUUGUCGAGCAGGCCCAGCAGUUGCACCGUGACCUUGGAAUAAUUGAGCCCCUCAAUGUUGGUUGUGGGUGGCUGCACCGGUUUAUGCACCGACAUGGCAUUCAUGGCCUUAAUCCUCAACCAGAAAGAUUCUCCACUGAAGAUUGUGCCACGUCCGCCUUUUGUAGGCGGUUCCUUAGGCUAGUAGAUGCACACGCCCUGGUGCCGGAUCAGUUGUAUGGAGCCACAGAGUUGGAAUUGCACUGGAAGGGUGUCUCAGUGGCUGGCACGGCAAUGGCUGCUCCUGACUUUAUUGAUGAUGAGGAGCCGAUUGCUGUGUUAUGCUGUGCAAAUGCAGCUGGAACUCAUCGGCUCCCUCUGGCGUUUAUUGGUCGAGCUAGCAAGAGUAGGGUCCUUAAUGGUCUGAACGAGGGGUUCCUACCAGCUGUCUACUUCCAGCAGAACCCUACGCAGUCUUACAGUGACAUCUGCAUGACUUGGUUUCACCACAACUUCAUCCCUGCCGUGAAAGACCACCUUAGUACCCAGGGCUUGGCCCACAAAGCUGUCCUGGUCCUGGCAGAUACACCAUCCCACCCUGAAGCACGCCCCCUGCAUUCAGUAUCAAAUAACUGCCAUAUUUUCGCAGUGUACAUGCCUCCAAGCGCAGCACUGAAGCUUCAGCCCAUGGAACAGGGUGUUGUACAGAGCCUCCAUCAACAUUUUAUGCGCGGCCGGCUUAGCAAGCACUCGGAAGAUGCGUUAACCUCCCCAAAGGAGCACGUAGUGAUGGACGUGCUGCUUGGAGCCGUGGCCGCAUGGACGCAGAUAGAAACAGCGACGCUCAUGGCCUCCUGGCAUGAGCUCUGGCCCAGCGGUGAGAAGCUCACAACUUUCAGUCCGGCGCAACCUGAGAAUGGACAUCGACAUGAGGCAACGAACAUGGCACUUCUCCAUUGGCAGACAGGGAAGACACUCGGGUGCAGAGAUGGAUAUGAGGAAAACAUGCAGACUGGGUGCACCUGGGAUGACAAUCAGCCCAGCUACAAACUUCCCAAAGAUGAGGACGGAGCAGGGGAAAAUUAUGGCCAUACAGAUUAUAGUGCUAGUUGCUUUCAAAAUAAAACUAGUGGCAUUGUGCUAGAUGGGCAUUGUAUGGCUAACAUUACUGGAGAAAAUCAUGAGCAUGUAGCAGAGCAGAAUCGUGUCGAGGAUGUCGAUGGGGAUGAUGAGGUUAACGAAGAUGAUGACCCUCCUGCCCAGAAUGAAAUCAGUGCAAGGAGUGCCCUUAUGGCUCUGGAAACAGUGAUGCAGUUUCUGGAGCAACAGCCAGACACGGACCACCAGGAGAUGGUGCAGCUCCUCGGCACCCGCCGUAAGAUCAAAUCCAAACUCUCCGUGUCUUUACGCAAGGAAGCCAUCAGGCAUUUGCUUCAUGGUCAUGGACACCUACGCUCAGGAAAGUCUCCUCGUUCUGGCCCGCAUUGCUCGACUACGAUGAGCUUAUAGAGGCCAAACAUCCAAUUACAUGGCUAUCUCACUAAUGUUGCAGUAUCCCUUUGCCCGACUCCCAUUUCGAAUCAUAGAUUCCUGAUCGUAUAUCGUCUCAAUGAAACAGUGUUUCAUUGUGAACAGUUGUAUAUAUAUUAAUUAUGACCUUGGUAUAACAGCUUGGAUAACUGGCUCACUUUUGACUGAAUAACAUGCAAUUCCAUUGUGAAAUACAAAUAUGGCUUUUGAUAAAGGGCACAAAUCAUAGAGAAAUGCAAGUUGAAAGUUAUAGUGAGUGACAAAAAGAGGAGCAGUUGGAUCAUGGAAUAAAAAUAAAUUUGAGACAUCAGAUGCACUAUUCAGACAAAUAUUUGGAUUUGGGCACAACAAAAUUAAGAUGCAAUGCUGACUGAUGGAUGAGACGCGUGACGGAAUAGCAAGGAAGGGAAACGUGCCCGAGAAGAAGACUACUGUGGAGAUGGAGCAUUGAGAAGGCUGGUGAUGAUGGAAUCACUCUUAUUGGUUGAAGCAUAUAAGUUAGCUUUUUAAAAGUAAUAAAUAAUCAAUUAUAUAUGAAUCGGCAAAAAUGUGGCGGACUUAAUAAGAAUCUUAUUCUUAGGUUUUUUCGGUAAAGUCACGUAGAAGGGAAAUAAUAAAAGAAUAAAAAGAAGACAAUAAUAUAACAUUCCCCAACUCAUUGGGACGCUGUCUUUCCGACAGCCCUGUUCUUCACCUGAGGACGGCUGCUUGCGUUAUGGUCGAAACGUCGUGAGAAUUUUAUUUUAAUAUGUUUUAUUUUAAUUAUUUUAUUAUUUCCCUUCUACGUGACUUUACCGAAAGAACCAAGAAGAACAAUCUAUAGCUUAAAGCUGUUCAAUCAAGGAGACUCUUGAAGUCACUUUGAGCAUUAGUUACAUAAUCAGAGCUUUGUAUGGAUCAUUCAGUGGUAUUCCACUCUUUAAUCAAACCAUCGAGUUUGUCAUGUCGGUGAGAGAUUUUCAUUGGCAGUACAAGGUGAACAACGCAGCAUGUGGGGUUUUUUUCGUUAAAGUUGUCUCCUGCUGAAUUGAGCAUGGGUGGCACUGCACUAGUCUCCUGUUUACAGCCCUGAGCCAGUGGUGUGAUUCUACAUUUCUAUGGUGGGUGUAACUAGAAUUUUCCUAGGCCAACUGUUUAUGAAUUCCCCACAAUUAUAAAUGGGAGAGGUGAGAUGGCCAAGUAGUGGUUGGGUUCGAUUGUUGCAACGGUUUUCGGUAAUACUGAAGGCAUUGACCAAAAAUACGCACCGUCUACUUUACAGUGGACGUAGAGUGAAAGCUAUGUGCGCCAGUGUGGUGCUCUAAACUUUCCAGAGUUGAAUAAUUAAUCACAUUUUUAAUUGGAAUUACAGUACCAACAGCAACAUUGCCUCCGACCGGCAGACGAAUGCCCACUUGCAGGCUGGUGCUGCGUCACCUUGUGCCGCACAGGGACCGCUGUCUUCAGGGGGGUUCUCCCCAAGGCUAAAAAAGAAAACUACCUCUGGGCAUUGGAAUGGUUGAGAUGAGACAUUGUGUCACGUGCAUUUAGAUGUUGGGUCAAGCACCCAAAAAAUGUGAAUCUUUAUUCUAUGUAGGUAAAUAAUACAUACAUUGGUAUACCCUCAUGCGUUUUUCUUUCAUCUGACCCGCCCAAUUGCCUCAGAAAAUUGAGAGUUGACGAUGUAUCUGUAUUCAAACAUGAUUUAAUUGUACGUGUGCUUUUUCCCCAAAAUUUCUACUUUUUAAAUGUUAUUUUAGCUUUUGUUAUAGUUGUAUUGGGUUUUCAUAGACUGUAUUUCACCAGGUUACAAUAAGAUGAUACCAAAAUUGUAAUGUAACAGAUGCAAACUAACAGAGAUGUGCAUACUAAUGAAUACGUGCAUCACUCAUAAAUUAUUUACUUAAAUCAAUUUAACUGCAUUGAUUUCUUUCAUUUUCAAAUCCUUAGUUCUAAGGGUUAAUUCUUGAGUAACCAAUAAAGUAAUUCCGGAUGUAUGUGUUGGUGCCUAUAACAUUGGAUAGUGUUAAAUAUUCUGCUGGUUUGUGCAUCCACACCUUUAGGACUGGAUUCUAAUGAGUUUUGCAUAUUAAACGUAUAUUUCAGUAAUGUGUAGUUGAGUAUAUCUCUUGCAUUUUUUUAAUAUACAAGCAUGCUGGGGCGAAAGACCUAUAAAAGCUUCUCACUCUGCACCUUCGAUUAGCACGGAUGGCUAUGUACGGUGCGAAAGAAGUUCAAGAUACAUACCCACAUGUUAUUUUUAUUCAUGUAGUUGGUGUUGUUGUAGUGAGAUAAUGUCCUUUCUCCAGGAAAGCCUCCCUAAUUCCCAAGACCCUUUUUCAGAAGGAUCCUGCUUUCAGCUUUAUGGCCAAAUCUAUUAAUGAGCCGUGUACCCUCACGCAUAUAAGCAGCUUAUAUUUAAGUAUCUGCACAAAUGGAUUGUUGAUUAAAUCAAGUUACUGCAAUUUGGCAACCUCACAGCCCGUUUUGGUUUGAAAAUGUAUAAAUCUUCAUGAUCCACCAAUCCUCUUUCAAGUGCCUGGAUUGGGUGUCAACCUAUUCUGGUAAAUGGGCUUUACUCGGGAAGUAAUCUGAUAUCCGAAUUGGUGUGGUAGAGUAUAUACAAAUGAACCUUAUGGCGGUACCCCGGGUUACCAUAGUAGCCCGGCUCUCGCAUAAUGUCUGUGAUGCAGUCAUUUUUAGUCUGUUGAUGGUCGGCGAUGCGGCAAUCGACUCAUCUCGACGAGCUGUACACGAUGCACCGCUAUGGUGCAUUACGAGCGUUCGUCCUCGCUGCGUUUCAACAUCGCGGAGUAGCACUGAUUUCGGAUUGAUUGGUACCCCAGUUGCAGAGUUAAGUACACCCCUGGAAAAAAUAGUGUCUCAGAAAUAAUAUAUUUAAUUGCCUUGGCCAUUUUUUAUUAUUUGGUACCCUGGGGUACCGCCAUAAGGAUCAAAUAAAGAUUGGAUUUAUAACAAAUAUAUAAUUCACCCUUUGUCAAUGAAGACCUCCCCCAUACCCUGCCAGUCAUGGGGGUGGGGGGGGGGGUUGCACCAUUUUUCACCAUCCUGUGAUGUUACUCAAAUACAGGAGGCCAUUGUGUGCCAACAUCAGUCAAAAUUUGCCAAUUAAAAACAUUGGGAUUACACAUAGCAACAUUUCCUGUCACUAUGAAAUCACUCUGAGGGAGUGGCAUCCUCAGAGCAAAGCUCCUAAUACACAAAGCCCCAAAGUGAUAAAGUUUCCUCACACCUCGGUUGUCUCGUGCACGUGUGUAUAAUGUUACUGACAAUGUAACUGAAAAGCAAACAACCCCAACAGUUGUUUUCUUUUUGUGCUUACAACCUAUCAAGAUUGACCGCAGGGGCAUCUAUAAGCUGCUGACCAUUGAGCAGAAGGUCGAGCUAAUCAGAAGGCUGCGUCAAGGCGAGACGGUGUCCUCGCUCGUGGCCGAGUACGGCGUUGGCACGUCGACGGUCUACGACAUCAGGCGCA